ensembl:snRNA U2 U2 spliceosomal RNA
AUCACUUCUCGGCCUUUUGGCUAAGAUCAAGCGUAUUUUAUUUAUUUGUUUUUUUAUUUUGUUUUUGGUACCAGGGAUCGAACUUGGAACUGUGGGACCAGAAUGACUCCAUUUUGUCCAAAAUGGAG